GAAAUGCGAUACGUAAUGUGAAUUGCAGAAUACAGUGAAUCAUCGAAACCUUGAACGCAAAUUGCACUCCUGGGUCAUCCCUCGAGUACACCUGUCCGAGUGUCAUUCCCAACACGUUCACCGCGCGCUUGCGCGCAGGUGGUAGGUGGGCGUUGAGUGGGCGACCGCUCAUCGCCUCAAGCUCGGGGGAGGAGCUGCCGGGAGAACACCCAGGCCCCAACCGCAUUGGCUUACGAUCGCCGGCUGUGCGACCCCGCCCACUGCCCUUGGAGGCCUCUCCCGCCGCCCCUCCCUGUGAAGGAGCGGCACGCUUUGUGCCGCACCGCCUCUCAUAUACAACCUCGGAUCAGAUGAGGACACCCGCUGAAUUUAA
rnacentral:misc_RNA from 1 species